UAAGACAUGCAAGUCGAACGGACUUAACCAUUAGUUUACUAUUGGAGCGGUUAGUGGCGGACUGGUGAGUAACACGUAAGCAACCUGCCUAUCAGAGGGGAACAACAGUUAGAAAUGACUGCUAAUACCGCAUAUGCCUUAAUUACCACAUGGUAAUAGAGGGAAAGAAGCAAUCCGCUGAUAGAUGGGCUUGCGUCUGAUUAGAUAGUUGGUAAGGUAACGGCUUACCAAGUCGACGAUCAGUAGCCGGACUGAGGGGUUGAACGGCCACAUUGGGACUGAGAUACGGCCCAGACUCCUACGGGAGGCAGCAGUCGGGAAUAUUGCGCAAUGGAGGAAACUCUGACGCAGUGACGCCGCGUGCAGGAAGAAGGUUUUCGGAUUGUAAACUGCUUUAGACAGGGAAGAAACAAGACAGUACCUGUAGAAUAAGCUCCGGCUAACUACGUGCCAGCAGCCGCGGUAAUACGUAGGGAGCAAGCGUUAUCCGGAUUUAUUGGGUGUAAAGGGUGCGUAGACGGGAAUGCAAGUUGGUUGUGAAAUCCCUCGGCUCAACCGAGGAAUUGCAACCAAAACUAUAUUUCUUGAGUGCUGGAGAGGAAAGUGGAAUUCCUAGUGUAGCGGUGAAAUGCGUAGAUAUUAGGAGGAACACCAGUGGCGAAGGCGACUUUCUGGACAGUAACUGACGUUGAGGCACGAAAGUGUGGGGAGCAAACAGGAUUAGAUACCCUGGUAGUCCACACCGUAAACGAUGGAUACUAGGUGUAGGGGAUGAAUAAUCUUCUGUGCCGUCGCAAACGCAGUAAGUAUCCCACCUGGGGAGUACGGCCGCAAGGUUGAAACUCAAAGGAAUUGACGGGGGCCCGCACAAGCAGUGGAGUAUGUGGUUUAAUUCGACGCAACGCGAAGAACCUUACCAGGGCUUGACAUAUACAUGAAAAUCUAAGAGAUUAGAUCCCUCUUCGGAGCAUGUAUACAGGUGGUGCAUGGUUGUCGUCAGCUCGUGUCGUGAGAUGUUGGGUUAAGUCCCGCAACGAGCGCAACCCCUGUUCUUAGUUGCCAGCAUGUAAAGAUGGGAACUCUAAGAAGACUGCCGGUGAUAAAUCGGAGGAAGGUGGGGACGACGUCAAAUCAUCAUGCCCUUUAUGUCCUGGGCUACACACGUACUACAAUGGCUGUAACAAAGGGAAGCGAACCCGCGAGGGGAAGCAAAACCCAUAAAAGCAGUCUCAGUUCGGAUUGAAGGCUGAAAUUCGCCUUCAUGAAGCCGGAAUUGCUAGUAAUGGCAGGUCAGCAUACUGCCGUGAAUACGUUCCCGGGCCUUGUACACACCGCCCGUCACACCAUGAGAGUUUGUAACACCCGAAGCCGGUGGAGUAACCUUUUAGGAGCUAGCCGUCGAAGGUGGGACAAAUGAUUGGGGUGAA
rnacentral:rRNA from 1 species